rnacentral:rRNA from 1 species
UACGAAGGGGGCUAGCGUUGCUCGGAAUCACUGGGCGUAAAGGGUGCGUAGGCGGGUUUUUAAGUCAGGGGUGAAAUCCUGGAGCUCAACUCCAGAACUGCCUUUGAUACUGAAGAUCUUGAGUCCGGGAGAGGUGAGUGGAACUGCGAGUGUAGAGGUGAAAUUCGUAGAUAUUCGCAAGAACACCAGUGGCGAAGGCGGCUCACUGGCCCGAUACUGACGGCUGAGGCACGAAAGCGUGGGGAGCAAACAGG